rnacentral:rRNA from 1 species
UACGGGGGGGGCAAGCGUUGUUCGGAAUUACUGGGCGUAAAGGGCUCGUAGGCGGCCAACUAAGUCGGACGUGAAAUCCCUCGGCUCAACCGGGGAACUGCGUCCGAUACUGGAUGGCUCGAGUCCGGGAGAGGGAUGCGGAAUUCCAGGUGUAGCGGUGAAAUGCGUAGAUAUCUGGAGGAACACCGGUGGCGAAGGCGGCAUCCUGGACCGGCACUGACGCUGAGGAGCGAAAGCCAGGGGAGCAAACAGG